GACGUAGGGGGCCAGCGUUGUUCGGAAUUACUGGGUGUAAAGGGUUCGUAGGCGGUGUGGCAAGUCGGGAGUGAAAUCUCUGGGCUCAACCCAGAGUCUGCUUCCGAAACUGCUGUGCUUGAGUGUGGGAGAGGCGCGUGGAAUUGCAGGUGUAGCGGUGAAAUGCGUAGAUAUCAGGAGGAACACCUGUGGUGUAGACGGCUUACUGGACCAUGACUGACGCUGAGGCACGAAAGCGUGGGGAGCAAACAGG
rnacentral:rRNA from 1 species